UUCUGACAUGCUUGACACACAGGAUGCUUAUGUAAGGCACUAGGCCCGAGCAGAGAGACGCCUAACGAGCGAGUAACAGGCAGAGAUCGAGCUGCUAAUUGAGAAGCCAGAACAUACUCUUUGUCAUGUCGUCCUGGGACGAAGGAUGUGAUUUCCGCCAGCACAUACUAUCUUCCAAGUUGUCGCCGUUGGACGAAGGAUAUGGUUACCAGCCUUCCUUCAAACAACACCAGGUUACCAGCCUUCCUUCAAACAACACCAUACCAUCCUCCCUAAAAAAGGAUACCCCCGCCGCUACCAAAAAGCCCAAGACGGACGACCAUGCCUAAGACGCUGCCAGAGGCGCCUACCAGGAGCAGCUCUAUGGCGUAGCCGCCGCAGAUUCCCCUCGCCACCAGAGUGGUGUCAGGGGUGCCGGUGCGGUGGUCGGCAACAAGCGGGAGACGGUGCACGACGGUGGGCUCUCUCUUGACGCUGCCAGAAGCGCCUACCUUGCGCAGCUGCAUGGUGAAACCGCCAUGGAUUACCCUAGUAGCUACAAGGGUGGUGGGAGGGGUGGCGGCGCGGUCCGCGACGAGGUGUACAAGAGCGGGAGUGAGGAGGACGAGAGCGAGAGCGACGAGGAGUUUUCCCGUGGUCCCCAGGGCGGCCUGCGCCGCUACGACUGCGAGGCGUACAUGCCGGAGAAGAAGAGCGCCGGCAGCAACCACGACAUCAGCCGCCACUACGGCUACGGGGGUGCAGUGGCGGGAUGAAUACCUCGGUUAUGGACACUAGUAGAGAAACGACUUUCCAUCCACCCCCUUUUGUCCCGGUUUAAAGUUGGCCCGGGAUAAAAGGUUGACCAACCGGGACUAAAACUCAGUCACUGGUGGGAGGCUCACCAACCGGAACCUUUUAUCCCGGUUGCAAAGGCUAAUGGGAAAAAAAGACUCUGAGAGGCCUUUUAUCCCGGUUUGAAACACCAACCGGGAUAAAAGACCCCCCCUUUUAUCCCGGUUGGUAACACCAACCGAGAUAAAAGGGUCAAGAGCCUUUUAUCCCGGUUGGAAACACCAACCGGGAUAAAAGGGUCCCCCACGAGUUAAUACAAAAGGAUAGUAUCCCCUACAUAGUCAGAUGUGGUGUGUAGGUGGGAUGGUAAGGAAGCUACGCGCGAGGCUGGAGGUUGUGGGUUCGAAUCCCACGAACCGCGCACGCGCAUAUUUCGCGUGAAAAAUCGCGUGACUUGUGACUCGCGCGUGUGGGGGGCCUCCUGGGAGCUCGGGAAUUUUUUUUUUUUUUGCAGCGUCGGCGCUCUCAACCCUUUUAUCCCGGUUGGUGUUACCAACCGGGAUAAAAGGGGGUCUUUUGUCCCGGUUGAGUGACCCGGGAUAAAAGACCCCCCCUUUUGUCCCGAAUGGUUUAUCCCGGAUGCGUUUUCGAGAUAAAAGCACCCUACCAACCGGGAUUAAAGCUCACUUCUCUACCGGUGGGAGCACAUUAACAAAGAAGCACCCCGGUGACUCCGUGGUUCAUGAUACUGUUGCACCAUGAAGGUACACAAACCGUCACGAGGAACAGGAAUAAUGCAUGUCUAAGUUAUAUAUUGUAUAUUGUAGUAGUGCAUGCCAUCACGAGGAAUAGGAACAAUGCAUGUAUGAGGUAAGAGGGAGAAGAUUACUUCUCUCAACAAGUCGCUCUACAUCUAGCUGGUAUGUAACAUGAAAAAGGUGGAAUCCACAUUUCUAAGAAAAACGAAGCAAUCUUUAGGAAGGAAAAGUGCUACGUGGUUGACAAAUUCAAACGCUAAUCUUAUCACUGACAAAUUAAUGAAUCAAUGUAUCAUAUAUGCUUUGUGGAACAAGGACUUCUUGCUACAAUUCAAACUGAUGAUAUGAAUUUCCACCCAUAUUUUGGCCGAAAAUCUACGAAAUCUAGUCUUUCCACUGGUGACUAGAAAACUUCCAAUGAAAUGUCAACCCCUAGUCCUUAGUCAUGCAUGGUUUAAGUUGUAGUGACCGCAGCAACAAUUUAUACUACCCAUAUCCCACAUGGAGCUUGUAAGUUGAUUAGUAUUUGUAGUUGUAGGUUGUUCAGUCAGGAAUGAAUGUAAUAUAUUGAAACGUUACCCCUUUGGGGCCGCACCUUUCAUUAUAUACUCGGCACACACAACAGACCGUGUGAAACACGGCUACAAGACCUAACAGGUCACGACCUAGAAAUAUCGUUUACAGGUAAGUCCUAUCUGAAUACAAUUGACCCUGCUUUAGGCAAAGG
rnacentral:lncRNA from 1 species